GUGACCAUGACAAGGAAAAAUAGUUAAUAAGUUGUUCAUGGAAAGAUAAUGAAGAAAACAAGGUUGAAACUGUCGCAAAAAGAUCAACAAAGUAAUUCUCCAUUUUUUUCUGUUUAGCAACCACAACACAAGUUAAACAAAAAUAUAGCAGUAACAUUAUCUCUAUGCAUGUUUAGGAAAAUUCAUGUUUGCACAUGUUGCAGCCAGGACAUAUUCAUAAUUGUUUAUAGAACGCAGAGAAAUGGCCUGCAAUCAUCUAAAACAACAAGAUAAC
rnacentral:misc_RNA from 1 species